AAUUCAACAAAACAAAGAAGGAAAAUCAACUAGCAAGCAAAAUAACAUUCAAUUAAAAGCAAGGAGGAAACAACCAAACCAGAGAUUUGCAGCAAGGAGAAUUGGAAAAACAACCUGAGAUCUGCAUCAAAAAAAAAAAAAAAAAAAAUCAAGAACAGACAAUUAAGAAAAAUUCAAUCUUGAAAAAUCGAAUCUUGAAUACAACACAAUCAUAAAGGAUAAAAAAAAGAGUUCUACCAAUAUAGCAGAUCUAAAAGAAAAGUAAAAUAACCAACCUGGAUGUAAAUCAAAAACUUGUAUGAUGUGAUAAUAGAUCUAAGACAAGAGGAUGAUAAAAAGUCAUUGUAGAUCUUGGUUUGAAGAGAAGAAGAGAAAAUAUGUGUUUCUGAUGUGUUAGAUUUUAGAUCAGAAGAAAGUACAACAAAGGAGGAGAACUGAUAGGGUUGAGGGGGAGGGUGUCGGCCAGGGGUAGGUAGGGAUGUACUUAUGUGGUUCUGGAACCACUCCUAUUAUUUAUAAAUUUAUAAUUUAUAAAU
rnacentral:lncRNA from 1 species